CUACGGGAUGCAGCAGUGGGGAAUAUUGGACAAUGGGGGCAACCCUGAUCCAGCCAUGCCGCGUGUGUGAAGAAGGCCUUAGGGUUGUAAAGCACUUUCAGAUGUGAGGAAAGGUGUGUGCUUAAUACGUACAUACUGUGACGUUAGCAUCAGAAGAAGGACCGGCUAACUCCGUGCCAGCAGCCGCGGUAAUACGGAGGGUCCGAGCGUUAAUCGGAAUUACUGGGCGUAAAGCGCGCGUAGGGGGUUUCGUCAGUCAGAUGUGAAAGCCCCGGGCUCAACCUGGGAAUUGCACCUGAUACUGCGGAACUAGAGUACGAUAGAGGGGAGUGGAAUUUCCGGUGUAGCGGUGAAAUGCGUAGAGAUCGGAAGGAACACCAGUGGCGAAGGCGACUCCCUGGAUUGAUACUGACACUGAGGUGCGAAAGCGUGGGGAGCAAACAGGAUUAGAUACCCCAGUAGUC
rnacentral:rRNA from 1 species